rnacentral:rRNA from 1 species
GACGAACGCUGGCGGCAUGCCUUACACAUGCAAGUCGAACGGUAACAGGUCUUCGGAUGCUGACGAGUGGCGAACGGGUGAGUAAUACAUCGGAACGUGCCCGAGAGUGGGGGAUAACGAGGCGAAAGCUUUGCUAAUACCGCAUACGAUCUCAGGAUGAAAGCAGGGGACCGCAAGGCCUUGCGCUCACGGAGCGGCCGAUGGCAGAUUAGGUAGUUGGUGGGAUAAAAGCUUACCAAGCCGACGAUCUGUAGCUGGUCUGAGAGGACGACCAGCCACACUGGGACUGAGACACGGCCCAGACUCCUACGGGAGGCAGCAGUGGGGAAUUUUGGACAAUGGGCGCAAGCCUGAUCCAGCCAUGCCGCGUGCAGGAUGAAGGCCUUCGGGUUGUAAACUGCUUUUGUACGGAACGAAAAGACUCUGGUUAAUACCUGGGGUCCAUGACGGUACCGUAGGAAUAAGCACCGGCUAACUACGUGCCAGCCGCCGCCGUAAUAC